rnacentral:rRNA from 1 species
UCUUGGUCAUUUAGAGGAAGUAAAAGUCGUAACAAGGUCUCCGUAGGUGAACCUGCGGAGGGGGGGUUCCAGCAGCGCCUCCGGGUGACUCUCCGCCCUAUGUUAUUAAAACCUUUGUUGCUUUGGC